CCGAGGAAAAGAAAUCAACCGAGAUUCCCCCAGUAGCGGCGAGCGAACGGGGAGCAGCCCAGAGCCUGAAUCAGUAUGUGUGUUAGUGGAAGCGUCUGGAAAGGCGCGCGAUACAGGGUGACAGCCCCGUACACAAAAAUGCACAUGCUGUGAGCUCGAUGAGUAGGGCGGGACACGUGGUAUCCUGUCUGAAUAUGGGGGGACCAUCCUCCAAGGCUAAAUACUCCUGACUGACCGAUAGUGAACCAGUACCGUGAGGGAAAGGCGAAAAGAACCCCGGCGAGGGGAGUGAAAAAGAACCUGAAACCGUGUACGUACAAGCAGUGGGAGCACGCUUAGGCGUGUGACUGCGUACCUUUUGUAUAAUGGGUCAGCGACUUAUAUUCUGUAGCAAGGUUAACCGAAUAGGGGAGCCGAAGGGAAACCGAGUCUUAACUGGGCGUUAAGUUGCAGGGUAUAGACCCGAAACCCGGUGAUCUAGCCAUGGGCAGGUUGAAGGUUGGGUAACACUAACUGGAGGACCGAACCGACUAAUGUUGAAAAAUUAGCGGAUGACUUGUGGCUGGGGGUGAAAGGCCAAUCAAACCGGGAGAUAGCUGGUUCUCCCCGAAAGCUAUUUAGGUAGCGCCUCGUGAAUUCAUCUCCGGGGGUAGAGCACUGUUUCGGCAAGGGGGUCAUCCCGACUUACCAACCCGAUGCAAACUGCGAAUACCGGAGAAUGUUAUCACGGGAGACACACGGCGGGUGCUAACGUCCGUCGUGAAGAGGGAAACAACCCAGACCGCCAGCUAAGGUCCCAAAGUCAUGGUUAAGUGGGAAACGAUGUGGGAAGGCCCAGACAGCCAGGAUGUUGGCUUAGAAGCAGCCAUCAUUUAAAGAAAGCGUAAUAGCUCACUGGUCGAGUCGGCCUGCGCGGAAGAUGUAACGGGGCUAAACCAUGCACCGAAGCUGCGGCAGCGACGCUGAUGCGUUGUUGGGUAGGGGAGCGUUCUGUAAGCCUGCGAAGGUGUGCUGUGAGGCAUGCUGGAGGUAUCAGAAGUGCGAAUGCUGACAUAAGUAACGAUAAAGCGGGUGAAAAGCCCGCUCGCCGGAAGACCAAGGGUUCCUGUCCAACGUUAAUCGGGGCAGGGUGAGUCGACCCCUAAGGCGAGGCCGAAAGGCGUAGUCGAUGGGAAACAGGUUAAUAUUCCUGUACUUGGUGUUACUGCGAAGGGGGGACGGAGAAGGCUAUGUUGGCCGGGCGACGGUUGUCCCGGUUUAAGCGUGUAGGCUGGUUUUCCAGGCAAAUCCGGAAAAUCAAGGCUGAGGCGUGAUGACGAGGCACUGCGGUGCUGAAGCAACAAAUGCCCUGCUUCCAGGAAAAGCCUCUAAGCAUCAGGUAACAUCAAAUCGUACCCCAAACCGACACAGGUGGUCAGGUAGAGAAUACCAAGGCGCUUGAGAGAACUCGGGUGAAGGAACUAGGCAAAAUGGUGCCGUAACUUCGGGAGAAGGCACGCUGAUAUGUAGGUGAAGUCCCUCGCGGAUGGAGCUGAAAUCAGUCGAAGAUACCAGCUGGCUGCAACUGUUU
rnacentral:rRNA from 1 species